GAUGAAGAACGUAGUGAAAUGCGAUAAGUAAUGCGAAUUGCAGAAUUCAGUGAGUCAUCGAAUCUUUGAACGCACAUUGCGCCCUGUGGUAUUCCGCAGGGCAUGCCUGUUCGAGCGUCAUUUCAACCCUCAAGCUCUGCUUGGUGUUGGGCCCUGCCCGCUGCGGCCGGCCCUAAAGACAGUGGCGGUGCCGCCUGGCCCUGAGCGUAGUACAUCUCUCGCUCCAGUGCCCGGUGGUAGCCUGCCAGAACCCCAACUCUCGUGGUUGACCUCGGAUCAGGUAGGGAUACCCGCUGAACUUAAGCAUGUCAAUAAGCGGAGGA
rnacentral:misc_RNA from 1 species